GUGCAACCUCUCAUCUUCACUGAUGAGGAAGCCGAGACCUGGAGAAGUUUGGUGAUGUCCGAAAUCAGCUGCCCAGACUGAUGGCCUUUAAACACUUAGGUAUCUUUUCAAAAUCAAGCAAGAGGAGCUCGGGUUUGAGCACAUCAUAAUAACAGCAACGUGUCAGACAGAUUGAUCCAGCCCCACUCCAGGCCAGGCCCCGAGCCAGGCACUCGGACGCAGCGGUGGGAGAGGCAGACGGGGCCACGCCCGUGGAGAACAGUGGGUUUGGCGAGAGAGACAGGUGGUUAGAGGUCAUCUCUCUCUCAAGGUCACGGCCCAAGUUUCAGAUGAUCCAGAAAAACUCCCUGGAUUCAGGAGCUUAUGGAAAGUUUAAUUAAAG
rnacentral:lncRNA from 1 species